GCAGGGGUGAUAAUUGUUAUCACUAUAAGUUAUUCCCCACUGUUAUUAUAUAAGAAAAGUUGUGACAAAAUUAAUCAUCUCAGGAAUUCUUCAAAUUAGCUCAAAGAUCUGAUGUACUCACUCAGUCUAAUGUCAAAAUAUUCGAUUUGUCCAUCUGAUGAGUUGAGCAUUUUCAAUUGAUUUUUAUAAUUCAUUCUUAUGUUGUACUGUUAUACCACUGUCCAAGGUUAAGGGAGGGUUGGGAUCCUACUUACAUGUUUAACCCCGCCACAUUAUGUAUGUAUUUGCCUGUCCCAAGUCAGGAGCCUGUAUUAAUUCAGUGGUUGUCGUUUGUUUAUGCACAGUGUUACAUAUUUAUUUUUCUUUCAUUUUUUUUUUACAUAAAUAAGGCCGUUAUUUUUCUCGUUUUAAUUGCUUUACAUUGUCAUUUUGGGGCCUUUUAUAGCUGACUAUGCGGUAUGGGCUUUGCUCAUUGUUGAAGACCAUACGGUGACCUAUAAUUGUAAAUUUCUGUGUCAUUUUGGUCUUUUGUGGAUAGUUGUCUCAUUAAGUAAUCAUACUACAUCUUCAUUUCUUAUAUAGCUAGACCAUAGAGGGGCACAAUUCUGGAAAAGCUUUAAAAGAAACAUGCAAAUCUUAAAUACUGAAAAUUAUUGGGAGAUUUUUACUAUGGAAAAUUAUGCGACUGGGUGUUUAUUGGUACAUGUAUUGCAAUAUUUGGUGUUUAUUGGUACAUGUAUUGCAAUAUUUGAAAUCUGACUACUAUAUUUGUUUGCAACUUUCCCUAUAUUUUCAAUAAUUAUUCUAACAUUUUGGUCUGCCAUGUCAAAAUUGAAUUAAUAUAUGCAUGCAAUAAUAUCUGAAUUUACAAUAUACAAAAACUGUCAUGAAUUUGAUGCCUAAUAAUUGUUCAGUUUGUCUGCUGGAUUAAAUUUGCCUUUUAAAGAUCAGCACUUUCCUAUUUUUAGCUAAUGUUACAUAAGAGCAUCUACAGAAAAGAUGUGAUGUGAACAAAGAGUGACAAUUACUCCAUACAAAUGACACAAUACAAUUACAUAUAGUAACCAGAUAUACCAAUACUAUUAACUGUAAAACCACAAUCAAAUCUAACCAAUUCAGACUACUUUAGAAAUGAAUGGAUUAGGUUCUACUAUGUAUUGACAAAGCUAUUGCUAUGUAAUGCAAGUCCUUCAGACAGAAACUCUCCACUCACUCAGACCUGCAAACAGAACUAAUGUCUGUGAGCAUUCAUUUCCAAAUAUCAUAUAUUAUAAAUUCAAAGAGAUGAAGUAAUAAGGGUGGCAAAGGAUUAUUUUCGAGCAACGUGAUCACCAUUUUUUUUUUAACUUUCAAUGUUUUUUUACUUUUUUAUUUGACGUUCAGUUCAAGACAGGUGCCUCAUUCAACGUGUUCUGUUUAUUUAAUUUUACGUGCAUCCUGAUUUUCAAAUGCUUAUUUAUUCGUGCUCAGAAUUUUAAAAAUAAAUUCAAGUACUUGGCAGGGAUCGUUAAGAAAUACUUUUUUAAAAGCCGUAAACAAUUUAUAUUAUAAAUAUGUAUACUUAAUCGGGAAUAUCAGGUAAAAGGAGAGAUUUUAUGUACAAGUGACUCAGUCGCAAAAGGUUCUCAUCAAAGUCUUUAUUUUUUCGUGGAACUUUCAUGACAGAAAUUAUUUCAACGUGAAAUAAUGUCUUAUUUCAUGCUUUUUUCGUGCAAGCACCCCCAUUUACCACCCUCAGUAAUGAAAUUAAACAAAAAGAAGAUGUGGUCCGAUUGCCAAUGAGACAACUCUUCACAAGAGACCAAAUGAUAAUGUACCAAAAGUUAACAACUAGGUGACAGUACAGCCUUCCACAAUGAGAAAGCCCAUACAGCAUAGUUUGCUUAUCAGAGUGGGCUAUGAUUGUAGGUUUUAGUUCUUGUUUUUGGCUUUCUAAUUUUGGAGGUUUUAAGUUGUUUUCAUGAAUGAGUUACAUUGGUUGACUCCAGGUCAAUUGGUAAUAAUAUCAUCCUUAAACAACAGGUUCUUAUGACGUAAUCUAUUAUGAGGUGCUUCUAUCGACAUGUAAACAGCAUUUUCAUAUAAUUCUCGAUAUAUUUUUACUUAAGAUAAGGGUGAAGGUUGGUACCUAUUAAAACAUUUAAACCUGCUGCUUUUGUUUGCACCUAAUCUGAUGUUCAUACAGUAAUUUUGGUUGGUUGAUAUGGUUCAUAAGUGUUUUUCAUUUCUCAUUUUUUUUAUAAUAGACCAUUGGUUUUCCCAUUUGAAUGGUUUUACACCUUGAGUGAGUAACUUGUGUCAUUUUUCAGGCCCUUUUAUAGCUUAAUUUUUGUGUGAGCCAAAGCUCUUCUGUGUUACAAAGGAGUAGGUUCAGUAAGACCUCUUUUUGGCCCCAAAAUAUAGCAGUUUUAUAAAAGUAUGAAAAUGUAAUCUUUUAGCUAUUUACUGGACAGUAGAAUGCUUCUGUUACAUAAAUAUGGUAUGUUUUUGACUUUACAAUUCACAUACAUGGAGUAUAGCAUCAUUAAGUCAUGCUUAAUUACUGAAAUCUUCACAAUUUGAGCAUUUUAGUUAAAUUUUAGAUGGUUUCCGUCUAAAAUGAAAGUGACCGCAUUCUUGUUCAUUCAUAAUAUUGAAAUGUAAGUUGUAUUUGAGAUAAUACAUAACAUAUAUAAAGGUUGAGGAUGAACACGGAUGUGGCCCCUUUUAUUUGUGACAAAAACCAUCUGAAAAGUGACGCUUUUUGGCAUAUUUGAUAGAUUUUUCAUAUUUAAGCUUGAAUCGGAGCGUUUUUAAUGACAAAAUCAGUUAAAAUCUUUUACACAAACUUAAAUUAAAUCAAUUUUAAUAGACACUCAAGUGUUUAAAAAAUGUCCCAAAUCUUUCGUUC
rnacentral:lncRNA from 1 species